rnacentral:rRNA from 1 species
CCAGCAGCCGCGGUAAUACGGAGGUUGCGAGCGUUGUUCGGAAUGACUGGGCGUAAAGGGAGCGCAGGCGGUUCGGUUUGUCCGGCGUGAAAGCCCGGGGCUCAACCCCGGCGGGCCGUCGGAAACGGCCGAACUGGAGUACGGAAGAGGAGAGCGGAAUUCCGGGUGUAGCGGUGAAAUGCGUAGAUAUCCGGAGGAACACCGGUGGCGAAAGCGGCUCUCUGGUCCGAUACUGACGCUCAGGCUCGAAAGCGUGGGGAGCAAACGGGAUUAGAUACCCCGGUAGUCCACGCCGUAAACGUUGUGCGCUAGGUGUAGGCGGUAUCGACCCCGCCUGUGCCGCAGCUAACGCAUUAAGCGCACCGCCUGGGGAGUACGCCCGCAAGGGUGAAACUCAAAGGAAUUGACGGGGGCCCGCACA